UAGGCAGGAGCCAGGAGGUAAGGCAUUUAGCUGUUAACUAGAAUUAUAUGGGAUCGAGACCCAUCUGCCUAG
rnacentral:tRNA from 1 species